UAAUCAGCAGUCAGGAAUUCCCACAAGGCA
rnacentral:piRNA from 1 species